rnacentral:rRNA from 1 species
UACGGGGGGAGCAAGCGUUGUUCGGAUUUACUGGGCGUAAAGGGCGCGUAGGCGGUCGUGACAAGUCACUUGUGAAAUCUCCGGGCUUAACCCGGAAAGGUCAACCGAUACUGCGGGGCUAGAGUGCAGAAGGGGCAACUGGAAUUCUCGGUGUAGCGGUGAAAUGCGUAGAUAUCGAGAGGAACACCUGCGGCGAAGGCGGGUUGCUGGGCUGACACUGACGCUGAUGUGCGAAAGCUAGGGGGGCGAACGGG